rnacentral:rRNA from 1 species
CUACGGGUUGCUGCAGUGAGGAAUUUUGCGCAAUGGGGGCAACCCUGACGCAGCAACGCCGCGUGAGUGAAGAAGGCCUUUGGGUCGUAAAGCUCUGUCAAUGGGGAAGAAGUUACUUGGUAUUAAUAGUGCCUUGUAUUGACGGUACCCAUGAAGGAAGCACCGGCUAACUCCGUGCCAGCAGCCGCGGUAAUACGGGGGGUGCAAGCGUUAUUCGGAAUUAUUGGGCGUAAAGGGCACGCAGGCGGUCCUGUCAGUCAGAUGUGAAAGCCCAGGGCUCAACCCUGGACGUGCAUUUGAAACAGCAGGACUUGAGUACGGGAGAGGAAAGGGGAAUUCCUGGUGUAGAGGUGAAAUUCGUAGAUAUCAGGAGGAACACCGGUGGCGAAGGCGCCUUUCUGGACCGAUACUGACGCUGAGGUGCGAAGGCGUGGGUAGCGAACGGGAUUAGAUACCCCCGUAGUC